AUUUUUUCACAAUAAAGUCUUAAUUUUCGUUAAAAAAAAACCGCACGAAUUAAUGCAUACACCAAUACUUGUAAAAGUAGCAACAAAGUUCUCUAGUUGAAUUCAAUAUAAGAGAUUAUGUGGGUACCGGAAUAAGUGGUAUAACUGCAUAGAUCGCAUGGCAUUAUUAGCGAUUUUACAUAUGCUAGUUCUUUGUUCGAUUCGCCAUCAAACACCUUUUGGUGAAAGAGAGCCAAUUUAUAGUUAUAAAUUAUGCUAGCUUAUAACCCGUCUAUGGGUUCAUAAACAGAACAUCGUAUUAUCGCCGAGGAUCAAUUAUACGCUGUAGAAACGAUAUAGACGUUCCAUCGUAAAAUGGUGAAAGGGGGAAGUGGCUAGCUUGAAAAUAACUUAUUAGGAACUUUUUUACUUAUGAAAUUACACUGAAAACUCUUACCAAUUUCGGUAACUAAAACUUAGCUUAACGCAACAAAAGAGCCAUACGCAUCUUAUGAUAUGAUCUUUCAUAAUCUGGACAAACUGUCAUUCCUGUAUUAUUUUCACAGGAUCUGCACAUUGUAGAAUUUACUCUUCAGUGGCAAUCAUAAGUUUAAACGGUUCCGAUUUAUAUACCACCAAGGCCUAUCAGUUCUGCGAUAAACCGUUCUCACGACAGUCGGAUCUACGUAACCGGAACGGACCCGGAUUUCUGUCACUACAACAACAACAGUUCUGCAAUAAAUUUCAAAAAACUUUAAAUCCCAACUCAAUUACCAUAUUUUACUAGAGAAUUUUCUAAAAUAAAGAGACCGUUUGGUAUUUGGUUCUAUA